rnacentral:lncRNA from 1 species
GAGCGCCUGACAAGUGGGUGAGUGAGGAAAAGAUAACAAACGUGAGACCAGAAACAGUUCAUAGCUUUACCUGCUCAGUGACUUCAAAGAGGGCUCUGCCUGGGUGGGGCCAGGAGCCUCAUCCUGAGUUCCCACUGGCAUGGGGAAACUCACACAUUGUGCCUUUGUAGAGGUCUCUACUGUUUUUAUCUCAGUAUAACUUUUUGGAGAAAAUCGAGCUUGGCCAGAGGAGUCCCUAUCGGCUCUCUUGACCUUUCAAACAUGUCUUCCAUGACCUUUAACUAAGCAUUCACAAAAAUAUGUUUACCAUCUUUCCUUCUUACAGUGUGACCUGAAGCUGAGCAUGCUCAGAAAAGAGCUCAUUAAUUGAGCACACUCGGGGGGGGGGGGGGUGCUCACGAGGCAUCUUUUUUCUUUUUUUCUUUUUUUUUUUCUUUCUUUUUUUUUUUUUUUUUUUUUUUGAGACAGCGUCUCUUUUCAUAGUCCUGUCUCAGAACUCACUAGGGAGACCAGGCUGGCCUUGAACUCAGAGAUCCACCUGCCUCUGCCUCCAAAGUGGUGGGAGUAAAGGCAUGCGCCACCACUGGCCAACUAUAAGGCUCCUUUUUAGGAACACACAUGGACCUCCUGAAUAAAAGAACCCAUUCCCUUUGUCAGGGGUGGGAGUGAGCAUUGUCUUGAAAUAAUAUGCACGCUUCUCUUAAAUGUAGGAAGUAAUAAGUCUCCUCUUCAUUUCUCAGCCCUGUUUGGCUUGAGCUUUUUGUCACCAACAGAUAAACCCAUUCCAUUCCGUUACAAUUGGGAGAUAGAGCAGUGAGUGGCAGCCAUUCACCAAGAAAGGAAAAGCUCUCAGAUGGAACAGCUGCUACAAGGCUCAGGUCUCACACAUCCGUGAGGUCAUUAGCCAGGUUUACAGGGGAUAAACCAGGAAGUGAACUGUGGUCUAUUCAUGAUCACGGUCUGUGUAUCCCCUGAGAAGGAAGGGUAACAGCAAGCUGUUCUUUCGGCUUAAGAUGUGAGUGAUGGGGACGUAAGAAGAAGUAUUAACCACUUAUUAAGUUUCUCCGUCACACAUGGCAUUUUCAUCCAAUGAAAUCAUCUAACAACAUUAAACAAAGUAAUGCCCCUGUGAGUAAGCA